rnacentral:sRNA from 1 species
UGAAACUGACUUUGGUAAAUGUCAAUGAA